rnacentral:rRNA from 1 species
ACAUGCCUACAAUAUAGCAUUAAUGCAACAUAUCCCAUUAUAACUCCGCAGUUAAGCGUGCUCAGGCUAGAGUAGUACUGAGAUGGGUGAUCUCCUAUGAAUUCCUAGUGUUUUACAUGCC